rnacentral:pre_miRNA from 1 species
CAUGGGCCCUCAAGCCAUUCAUGUUGUCAUUCAAAUCAUGACUGUUUUGGAGGCCCGUGGC